CCCUUAGACGUUCUGGGCCGCACGCGCGCUACACUGACACAGGCAACGAGCUUUCCUUUACCGAAAGGUAUGGGUAAUCUUUUGAAACUGUGUCGUGCUGGGGAUAGAUCCUUGCAAUUUUUGAUCUUAAUCGAGGAAUUCCUAGUAAGCGCGAGUCAUCAACUCGCGUUGAUUACGUCCCUGCCCUUUGUACACACCGCCCGUCGCUACUACCGAUUGAAUGGCUUAGUGAGGCCUCAGGAUCCGCGCUUAAUGUGUGGAGAAUUUGGACAAACUACGUCAUUUAGAGGAAGUAAAAGUCGUAACA
rnacentral:rRNA from 1 species